AGAGUUUGAUCCUGGCUCAGGACGAACGCUGGCGGCGUGCUUAACACAUGCAAGUCGAACGGAAAGGCCCUUCGGGGUACUCGAGUGGCGAACGGGUGAGUAACACGUGGGUGAUCUGCCCUGCACUUUGGGAUAAGCCUGGGAAACUGGGUCUAAUACCGAAUAUGACCAUGCGCCUCCUGGUGUGUGGUGGAAAGCUUUUGCGGUGUGGGAUGGGCCCGCGGCCUAUCAGCUUGUUGGUGGGGUAAUGGCCUACCAAGGCGACGACGGGUAGCCGGCCUGAGAGGGUGACCGGCCACACUGGGACUGAGAUACGGCCCAGACUCCUACGGGAGGCAGCAGUGGGGAAUAUUGCACAAUGGGCGCAAGCCUGAUGCAGCGACGCCGCGUGAGGGAUGACGGCCUUCGGGUUGUAAACCUCUUUCAGCACAGACGAAGCGCAAGUGACGGUAUGUGCAGAAGAAGGACCGGCCAACUACGAGCCAGCAGCCGCGGUAAUACGUAGGGUCCGAGCGUUGUCCGGAAUUACUGGGCGUAAAGAGCUCGUAGGUGGUUUGUCGCGUUGUUCGUGAAAACUCACAGCUUAACUGUGGGCGUGCGGGCGAUACGGGCAGACUUGAGUACUGCAGGGGAGACUGGAAUUCCUGGUGUAGCGGUGGAAUGCGCAGAUAUCAGGAGGAACACCGGUGGCGAAGGCGGGUCUCUGGGCAGUAACUGACGCUGAGGAGCGAAAGCGUGGGGAGCGAACAGGAUUAGAUACCCUGGUAGUCC
rnacentral:rRNA from 1 species